AAGCAGGAUCUAGUUACAAUGUAGCCAUGAAGUGCUUCAUUGUGUUUUCCCCUGCUCAAAAUAAAACUGUUACCUUCCAGGCCCUGCCUGCCUUGGUGCCCUAGCAGCAGGGAUGCUUGGUGGCAUACAU
ensembl:snoRNA SNORA63 Small nucleolar RNA SNORA63